rnacentral:lncRNA from 10 species
UAAUAAGAUCAGCUUACUAGACAAUACAGUGAAAUGGGGGAAGCUAGAGAAGAGAGGUGGGCAGUGGCCUCUUAUGCUACGUAAGAGAUUUGACAUCAUAAAGUAAGUUGCCAGAGUUCUGAAUGAGGGCAUUAGAAAUAGUAAUGAACAGGAAAGCAUACACUUAAGAGCUGUCUGCUGUCUGGGAGGUGGAAUUUACACUGAGUACUGAGUAAUAGAAUGAAGGGGUUGAGGGAAAGGACCCCUGUUGCCCAGAAUUCACAUAAAAGAAAAACAGGAUGUAUAGCCAUCUGUAGAUCAGUCCCUUUGUAAGGCUAAGGGGUUUGUCACAGAAUUCCUUUCAAUGCUGAGAUUUUCAAAUAUAUUGCAACCAUCGAGAGGACAUUCUUGAAUAUUCACUAUAAGCCUGAUGCUAUGCGAGGUGCCAGAGAUACAAGAG